UAUCAGAAUCUCCAGGGGUACUUAAUAUGUGAAAAAAGUCCCCCAGGUGUGAUUCUGAUUUG
rnacentral:pre_miRNA from 1 species